CUCCCUCCUCGUCCUCCUCCUCUGCUGACUGCUUCGUGUUGUUCUUCUUCUUCUUGUGGAGACAACCUCCCCAAUGACAUCCUCAACCAAGAUGAUCGAGACCUUGAAUCCUUAAUGCCUGAACUUUGUCUGCGAGCUCAGUGUUGUUGAAAGAAUCAGCCACCAUCUCCUGAUAGGUUUCCGCUGCCUGACCUCUCCGCUUUCUUCUGACAUUUUUGGAGGUUCCAGCCCCGACUCUUGCUCAGAUGGGCGAGAACAAAACAAGCCGGUGUUGUAAAUCCACUGAGCCGAGAUGGACGGCACAGCUACGACGUCGUCUUGCUGCAUAGCAUUGAUCUUUUGGUGCUCGUCUAAUUGGGAUAACGCCAAGCAGUUGGCCGCUACAGGAAGGAGGCUGCGCGUGGGGGAGAUUGUGAUGGCUAGAAGAUAGACAAGACCGUGAUCUGGACCUUGCACGAAUAGUUUGGAUAGAAUCAAAGAAGCUCUCGCACAUCGUAGUCCCAGCAAUCCUCAGCCGUUGUCAACGAUCAACAAGGCUAUGGCUGGAGUAGUCAACGAUGCAGCUCCCAGUGCCGAUGUAGUCGCCGUUGGUGAACACCAUGCUCGGAAUGAGAGGCAGUCGGUGCAUUGGAGGAGCACGGUAAACUAGCUCGUGGGGAGGAGAGAGAAAAUGAUUGUGCAGAGCUUCCAAAGGACCUGAAAGUGAUUGCGAGGAGCAGAAGAGGAGUCUGCCUGAUGAGUAGUGUCACGCCCCAAAAAAAUAAAGUUGACCAAUGCAGAAUGCGAACCAGAUCAUAUAUCUCACAGAAGCUUGGGACUUGGCAUCAAAGGCUUGGGAGCUCCAUGUCGUCCUUCUACAUUUCAGUGUAGUUUUUCCAAGAAAUGAGAAGAGGGAGGAGAGGAGGAAGCCACCUGGUAGAGGAGAGAGUAGUGAUGAGAAGGAAAAAAAUUCUUGGGCCACCAUUAACAAUUAAUGCACAUUUUUUUAAUAUAAGGCCACAAAAUGACUAUUGUCUAGUUAUAUCUAAAGUCUUAAGGCUUAUAUAAAUUGUGG